AGUUCUUUGGCUCAGUGGUUAGAGCUUUCGUCUCGAAAUCGAGAGGACCCGGGUUCGAUUCCCGGGCGGGUCA